rnacentral:rRNA from 1 species
GACGAACGCUGGCGGCGUGCUUAACACAUGCAAGUCGAACGACGUGGCGAACGGGUGAGUAAUAUGUGGGUAACCUGCCCUCCUUUUUGGGAUAAGCCUUUGAAAAGGGGUCUAAUACCGCAUUAAGGGGGAUGGGAUAGGGGCCUAUCAGCUUGUUGGGGGGGUGAUGGACUACCAAGGCGGUGCCGGGUAGCCGGCCGGAGAGGGUGACCGGCCACAGUGGGACUGAGACACGGCCCAGACUCCUACGGGAGGCAGCAGUGGGGAAUAUUGCACAAUGGGCGCAAGCCUGAUGCAGCCAUGCCGCGUGUAUGAAGAAGGCCUUCGGGUUGUAAAGUACUUUCAGCGAGGAGGCGUUACUCGCAGAAGAAGCACCGGCUAACUCCGUGCCAGCCGCCGCGGUAAUAC